rnacentral:misc_RNA from 1 species
GAACUUGGGCAGCUGCAGCAGCCGCUGGCGGAAGAGCGCGGCGCCGUGGAGAGGCUGUGCGCGGAGCUGGACGAACUCCGCGGGGACAACCGCCAGGACGACCAGCGGGAACGGCCGCCACCGCAGCCUCAGCAGCCCUCGACGGUGCGACGAUGGCAGCAUUUCCGAAGGCGUUGAGUGACCUGCAUGAUUUCGGAGUGAGAUACUUCGAUAUCAGCAGGGAGCAAUACCUUGAGCCCGGAAAGCUCUUUGACACCAUGGUGACUGACGGUGACAUCUGUCGUACAGGAGCGUUCGUGGUUGUUUUCAACCUCCAAUUCGGAAAUAUUUUUUGAUAGGUGCAAAAUGUGUGCUUGUACUCCACAUGUUUUUUUUGUUCUUUCCAGGGGAGACUGCACGAAUCUUGUGCGCCUUCCAAAGCGGAUGUUGAGAACAGCUUGGAGGCCAUCAAGACUUUCUUGAGGCGUGACCUGCCGAAGGGCGAAAAAACGCGUCAAUUCAACCCUGAUGUGCAGUUAAGGACUCCACUACGACCGGAGACAGGCAGCUACCUGAUUGAAGCCCUCGGCUCAGGCGACAAGAGGACUAAAUCGUAUGAAAAGCAGAGGGCCAAGUUCAUGAAGGCCGUCCGGUCGACGGACUUUUUUUCGGAGGAACGCACAUCAUUGGAAAUGGAGUUUUUCAAGGAGGGUGGGGGAAUUAACGCAGCCCUCGACAAAUUUUUCCACAUUUGUGGGAGAAAAAGGUCAUCGUCUAUGGGGCGAACCUAGACCGUCCCGAGAUGCCCACAAGCCCAGGACUGGGCAUGAAAGCUGUACGGAAUGCCAUAACCCACUUGAAAUACGCUGAAACCGAGGAGGGACCGGCCAUGGAGGGUCCCGUCUCGGGUUUAACGGAGCCAGUACUUUACCUGGGGACUGAAGGAUCUAGCUUCAAUGUCCACAUUGAAGACAGGUCCUUCGAGUCCAUCAACAGGCUUGUAGCUGGUGCAAUCAAUGGUUUGUCAUUCCUCCCAGGUAUCUGGAAGCCUUUCUCUAUCUGGGGAGGACUUCGGGCAUCCCAAACCAUGAAUACCGGUGCUAUCAAAACGUCCAACAUAAAUUCUAGUUUGUGGACCCCAGAGUGGUGGUACAGAACGGCAUUCCCGUCUUCACGAUCGCGCAGCAGCCCGGUGACAUCGUGUACGUGCUCCCGCACACGAUUCACUGGGGCUUCAAUCUUGAAAGCAACGUGAAUGAGUCCAUGAAUCUCGUGUCCAGCUCCUGGAUUCCCCACGGACUAAAUUCUCGUGGUCGCUGCAGAUGUCCCAAUGUCGACGGAAACUUCGCGGAGCACUUCCUGGAGGAUAUGUUCAGAGAGUUGAAAGUCUCCUGGGAACACAUUCUGUGUUUCAAGGAGAAUUUCCGGCUUCCUCUCUCUAAAUUGUACCGAAAGGAGGUGCAUCCCAGGUCGGGAGUGCCAUUUGACGCCGCGAUCAGCAUGAACAAUUUGCUGGGUCAGGAUUUCGAUGGAGACGAAAUCGGGAAACCUGCAGUUCGGGUGCAGUGGCCUGGCCCCUUUGAACGACGAGGCGUCCUCGAGGUGGGGCUGACUCAUCAGCAGAAUUGCUCUUCACUUCUUCAUGAAUGUUGCCCAAAUCCUAGAUGGCAUGGAGCAGUCAUCUCGAAUUGCCUCGCAUAGACAACUUCUUGAGGCAGUUUUCCAUGAUGCCGACCUCAUGAAGAAGUGAGACAAUGUGUGCGACGGGAGGCUGCGCCAAGAAGACUCCUUGCGUCUCAUGGAGCUCAUUUGCAGAGAAUUCUGCAAUACUCAUGCGCGCGGUGUUAUCAAGAAGAGGAUAAUAAAUUAAACAGGUUUCCACCAGUGCAAUUGCGUGCUUAACUGGCCAAUAAAUAGUGUAUCCUUUGUUAACUUAGUCAGCGCCUUUGUCUGCAGUCAGAACAGAGCGAUGGGACUCUAACAUGAAGCUGUAUGCAGGGAUUGUCAAAAACACGGAGCUUGGCUCCCGGCUGGAGGACGCUGUUGAUUUCGUGGCACAAGAUGCACUUUAUCACAAUGAGUGCUUUCUAGUGCUGAAACCCGAAGCUAAGCGUAAACUAUCAGAGAAAGAUGAAUCUGAGAAUAUAGUAGAAACAAGAACAAUGGCCCUCUCAAAAAUAAUUUCUGAUCUGUGUCAGGCCAAAAUGACUGUGGACUUAUCAACGCCACCCGUAUUCUACAUGUCUGAGAUUCAAAAAAGGUUCAAAAAGUGCAAGGGUGGUUUGGGUGACUGCCAUUCUACUCGCCUCCGUAAAAGGCUCCUUGCAGCUUGCCCUCUGAGUCUGUCAAACCGGAAAGAAACGGAUCGGUCAUGACGUUCAAAGGGGACGCCUGCACCGCGAUCCACUCGCUGUCCAGGACAGGCGAUAACUGGAACACUGUUUUAGAGCAAGCUGCCAACACACUGCGGGACGCCAGAUUUUCCAAGAAUAGAACUACUGUGAAUGGCUAUUGUGAGAGGAAGAAGGCUCAACACCAUUCACAAAGCAUACUAAGUAGAACAAAUCCAUUCCACGAUAAAAUCCCUGAUCCUCUCAUUCUUCUGUUCUUUUGGAAGAAAAACAACGGCCCGCUGCUGGACAUAUCACAGGUGCAGAAAGUGACUGAGCAGGCUUGUCGAGAAAGCCGGACCUUCGUGCAGAGGUUGGCAAGGGCAGA